UUCUUCCCCAAUGGACGAAAUUCUGACGGAGCAACCCCGCGUGAGUGAUGAAGGUUUUCGGAUCGUAAAGCUCUGUUGUUAGGGAAGAACAAGUACCGUUCGAAUAGGGCGGUACCUUGACGGUACCUAACCAGAAAGCCACGGCUAACUACGUGCCAGCAGCCGCGGUAAUACGUAGGUGGCAAGCGUUGUCCGGAAUUAUUGGGCGUAAAGGGCUCGCAGGCGGUUUCUUAAGUCUGAUGUGAAAGCCCCCGGCUCAACCGGGGAGGGUCAUUGGAAACUGGGGAACUUGAGUGCAGAAGAGGAGAGUGGAAUUCCACGUGUAGCGGUGAAAUGCGUAGAGAUGUGGAGGAACACCAGUGGCGAAGGCGACUCUCUGGUCUGUAACUGACGCUGAGGAGCGAAAGCGUGGGGAGCGAACAGGAUUAGAUACCCUGGUAGUCCACGCCGUAAACGAUGAGUGCUAAGUGUUAGGGGGUUUCCGCCCCUUAGUGCUGCAGCUAACGCAUUAAGCACUCCGCCUGGGGAGUACGGUCGCAAGACUGAAACUCAAAGGAAUUGACGGGGGCCCGCACAAGCGGUGGAGCAUGUGGUUUAAUUCGAAGCAACGCGAAGAACCUUACCAGGUCUUGACAUCCUCUGACAAUCCUAGAGAUAGGACGUCCCCUUCGGGGGCAGAGUGACAGGUGGUGCAUGGUUGUCGUCAGCUCGUGUCGUGAGAUGUUGGGUUAAGUCCCGCAACGAGCGCAACCCUUGAUCUUAGUUGCCAGCAUUCAGUUGGGCACUCUAAGGUGACUGCCGGUGACAAACCGGAGGAAGGUGGGGAUGACGUCAAAUCAUCAUGCCCCUU
rnacentral:rRNA from 1 species